UUCUCUUAUUCCUACUUCUCUCCUCCUUUCCCUCUCUUCUCUCAAACUCAAUCCUGCUCAUCCUACCAGCUCCUCUCCUCAUUCUACGUGCUCCUUUUUCUGCUCCUUGCCUCUACUUUUUGCAGCUACCUUCCUCUUAUACUCUUUUUUCCUCCUAUAGUAUUCUUUCUCUUUAUUCUUUUUCUCAUCAUCCUUUGACGAACUUUUGCUGACUGGAGAGUCUGAGGACUGACUAUAGCCCCACAUCUACUCAAGAGCUUGCUUGGAUGCCAACAGAAGAAUAUAAGGUAAUCACAAGGCCCACCCUGAACAAGUGACUAAAGAAGAAUAAAAAUCCUGCUGGAUGAAAGAUCCAAAGACCUACAAAGAGAAAUUUACCCCCAAAAUUAUUCUUUUGGUUGAAGAAUGAGGACUGCAUUGGGUAGAAGAAUCCAAAGAAGAGAUGGACAACAAAACUACAAACAAGGC